CUACAGCAUAACUGGGUUUCUCGCUCUCCUAGAAAAUGUGGGGAAGCGAAAGCUUCCUGCCUCUCCAGGCCUGGACGGAUCCUCCGUGCUAGGACGCUGGGUUAGGGGCUCCAGGCGGACAGGGAGCUCAAGCCGGAGGAGAAGGGGUCGACAGACGAUGAGAUAGCUGGAUGGCAUCACCGAUUCAAUGGACAUGAGUUUGUGUAACAGGGAGGCCUGGCGUGCUGCGAUUCAUGGGGUUGCAAAGAGUCGGACACGACUGAGCAACUGAACUGCACACGAUACCUUUACUCUGGCCAACCAUUUCAAAAUUGCUUACUUUUGUUAAUAAGAAGCCUGAGUAAGACAAUGAAUGAAUCAGUACUUGUACAGUAUGCUCUCCUGAUGGCAGAUUGUUCACAUGAUCUUACCAUGUGAAGGACAGCACAACCAUACUGACAUAUACAAUAUUAUCCUUCAUUAUUGCAUCAGAAUGGGGUAAACUCAAAGACAGACCAGAUUAAGGGUCUGGAUGUCUAGAACACCAAAAAGACUACGGGGUAGCUCCUUGGCAAAUUUACUAAAAUAAUUUUUUCUGCAUUAUAAUAAACUUACAUAUCUGCUGAA